GUAGCAAUGAUGAGCCACUAUAUGAAUAUGAUCAUGCCACAACCCAAUCAUUCCAAACAACACAAUAAACUCACCUGAACUUACUAGCGUGUCCCAUAGAAUUACUUUAGCAGUUCACAACAUUAUAAUAUUUAUGAGCAGGUAAAAUGUAUAUGAAAUGCCAUGUCAAUAUAAAACUCAACCACAAAUAGUAUUUUUACAAAUAAAUAACUUGUGGCAUAAUAUGCAUAAAUUCAUUUUAAAAGCAUUUAUGGAAACUAUAUGAUAGACGCAUAUUUAUGCGACUUAGUUAACUAGUUUUCUUGCAUUUACGUUAUUAGUUCUUAGUUAUUUUA
rnacentral:lncRNA from 1 species